rnacentral:rRNA from 1 species
UACGAAGGUGGCAAGCGUUGUUCGGAUUUACUGGGCGUACAGGGAGCGUAGGCGGUUGGAUAAGCCCUCCGUGAAAUCUCCAGGCUUAACCUGGAAAGUGCAGAGGGGACUGUUCAGCUAGAGGAUGGGAGAGGAGCGCGGAAUUCCCGGUGUAGCGGUGAAAUGCGUAGAGAUCGGGAGGAAGACCAGUGGCGAAGGCGGGCAUCUGGACCGGUACUGACGCUGAGGCACGAAAGCGUGGGGAGCAAACAGG